AUGUCACCAUGGCUGCCACGGAGCCCCUAUCGAUAUGAUUGCUCAGUUUAUCUUCACAAAUCACCUUCAGCCUCGCCAAAUCAUACCUGUCCGCUGCAACAAGCAAAUGCUGAGCCAUGGCAUAUUUUCUUCUUGCUUCAUAUCCGGCAACGCGUCCGUGUACAUGAAAGUGAGCAGAGCACUGAACACUUGUGCCUCCAUGUCAUCUAUGCGUAUGGCAUUUUUGGUGGUGCUCUCUUCCAUGGAACCAAAGAACUCUGCUUUGAAAACAGGAAAGCGCGCUGCGAGCACGUACCGGUGCGCGAAGAAAGUCUCACCGCCGACUAG
rnacentral:rRNA from 1 species